CCCUCCGGGCCAGGCUGACUAGUCUCUGAGCAGCCUCCCUCCCCGCCUUACUCAACCGAUGACUCCGCCUUACAUCACUGCGUCGUGUCUCGUGGCUUUCACGCUCCGUCUCUGUCCCGGAAAAGCCUCGCCCUGUCCUAGCUUCGCCCCUCCCAAGGCCAGUGCCUCAGUCAGCACCCUGCACAUUCCGUUCUUCCAGAUGAGGGCAGGCGUCACUCAUCGGAGUGUGUGGGACUGGCAGGAAAACGUAAAAGCUUACAAACAACCCUGAGCUGCCUUGUUGAUGGUGGCGGAUGGUAUGUGAUCACCUCCUUUCAAAAAAAUGUGGCCUGCAAUAGGAUCUCCAAACCUGACCAGUCAUCAGAACCUCUGGAAUGAAGAUUUCCACUCGGGACCCAGGGACUCAGAAUCCCCUGACACCGAGCCCAGAGCUGUAUCCUCAGAGGGAUCCGGGGACUCUAACGCUCAAUCAAGUUCCGGGUCCGCCGCCUCCAGGACACCAGGCAGUCAGCCUGUGUUCACCGUGCAGACUCUGAGGCUGGCAGCAAAAGCGUCACUUCCCCGCGUCCUCUACCCCC